GACGAACGCUGGCGGCGUGCCUAAUACAUGCAAGUAGGACGCAGUUGCGAACGGGUGAGUAACGCGUAGGUAACUACCUAUUAGAGGGGGAUAACUAUUGGAAACGAUAGCGAAUACCGCAUACUAGUAGAUUGACCUGCGUGGUAUUAGCUAGUAUGUAGGGUAAAGGCCUACCUAGGCAACGAUACAUAGCCGACCUGAGGGGGUGAACCGCCAAAAUGGGACUGAGACACGGCCCAGACACCUACGGGAGGCAGCAGUAGGGAAUCUUCGGAAAAGGGGGGAAAGCUGACCGAGGAACGGCGCGGGGUGGGAGAAGGUCGUCGGGUCGUAAAGCUCUGUUGUUAAGGAAGCGGUACGUAACCAGAAAGGGACGGCUAACUACGUGCCAGCAGCCGCGGUAAUAC
rnacentral:rRNA from 1 species